GAUGAACGCUGGUGGCGUGCCUAAUACAUGCAAGUCGAGCGAACACACCGGGACCUGUCGCCUCUGGCUUUGUCAGCCGAGGGGACAUUCACACAGGUUUGGCCUACCUCUACGACUGGGAUACUAUCACGGGACCGUGUCUACGACCCGAUGAUAUAUCGAACCUCGUUGUUCCAUAGUUAAAUACGCUUGUUCUUACGCUUAUAGAUUGCUCCGCCCCGCAUUAGCUAGUUGUUAAGGUAACGGCUUAACAAGGCAACGAUGCGUAGCCGACCUGAGCGGGUGAUCCGCCACACGGGAAGUGAGAAACGGCAGAGACUCCUACGGGAGGACGCAGUAGGGAAUCCUACGCAAUGGGCGAAAGCCGGACGGAGCAACGCCGCGUGAGUGAUGAAGGUCUUCGGAUGGUAAAACUAUGUAAUUAGGGAAGAACAAAUGUGUAAGUAACUAUGCACGUCUUGACGGUACCUGAUCAGAAAGCCACGGCUAACUACGUG
rnacentral:rRNA from 1 species